GAUGAACGCUGGCGGCGUGCUUAACGCAUGCAAGUCGAACGAAGCACUUUAUUUGAUUUCCUUCGGGAUUGAUUAUUUUGUGACUGAGUGGCGGACGGGUGAGUAACGCGUGGGUAACCUGCCUUGUACAGGGGGAUAACAGUUGGAAACGGCUGCUAAUACCGCAUAAGCGCACAGCAUCGCAUGAUGCAGUGUGAAAAACUCCGGUGGUAUAAGAUGGACCCGCGUUGGAUUAGCUAGUUGGUGAGGUAACGGCCCACCAAGGCGACGAUCCAUAGCCGACCUGAGAGGGUGACCGGCCACAUUGGGACUGAGACACGGCCCAAACUCCUACGGGAGGCAGCAGUGGGGAAUAUUGCACAAUGGGCGAAAGCCUGAUGCAGCGACGCCGCGUGAGCGAAGAAGUAUUUCGGUAUGUAAAGCUCUAUCAGCAGGGAAGAUAAUGACGGUAC
rnacentral:rRNA from 1 species